UUCGAAUUGGAAAGAAUCUUAAAGGUCAUCCAGUCCAACACCGGGCUCGACAGAUGGCCAUCUAGCCUCUGCCUAACCAUUUCUAAUCAUUGUUACUUGUCAUGGUAGCCAGUUAUAUAGCUGAAUAAUCUCAGCAGUUAAGAGACUUCUUAAAUCCAGAAAAAAAAUCUGGCUCUUUAAAACUUCUCAUUGUCCCUGACUGAAAACUCAGAAUUUACAUAAAACACAUUUCUCCUUAGGUGGAAUGGUAUUGAGAAAAUGGCACUGGACAUGGUAUCUGAGGAUUUGGAUUUGCGUCACAAAUCAGCCUCCUGUUAGUUUACUCUUGCAGUACUUGCCUAAUAUUUCAUCCUACACAUGAUUCACUACUCAACACGGAGGAAGGAAAAGAAAGAUAUGCCAUUUAUUGAGACCCAACCAUACACCAGAAAAUAAAACGCCUUGAGUUAACAUGGAUAUAACAGAUGCCAACCAAUUCCUUCUGAAAAGACUUUAUCAGUCAACAUAAAUGGUCCAAUGUCAUUGUUCUACUUUUCACAGCCCUCCAUAGUUAAUGACGGCAAAUCACUUAAUGACAUUGGUUGAAAUGCUUCUUUCCCACUCGUGCUGUUUCUUGAGAGUUUGCAGAAAGCUCCCUUACAAACUUCUGUGAGCCUUGUGCUUCUCUCAGUGCCUUACUACCCUUGCCAGGGAAGGAAGAGUGAAUCAUCUAUUUGGUAUUUGUCUCUGCCUAUUAGCAUCAUCUCUACUUGGGUUGCAAUUAUGUAAACAUAAAAUGAUUUUAAUAAAAAUAAUAAAAUUGAGCUUGUUGUCAGCGAGGCUCUAGAAAGCUAAGAACUGCUGGGAACUAACUUCACAUUAUUUCAAUGUGGAAGAAAAGCACAACAGAAGUCUGCAAGAUUACAUGUUUGCAGCUUAUCAUACAUAAACUUGUCAUACAAUCUUGAUUUAGUGUUCUUAGGGCUCAGUUACUUUAUCUGUUACUCGAGGAUUAGAAAGCCAACAAAAUCCAAAUGCUGUUAUAUAAAAAGAUGGAUUUUGAAAAAGAGAGAGAAACCCUUUUAAAUACCAUAAUACAACAGCGAUGUUAAACAAGGCUCUUUUGCUGUACUGACAAAGAGUAUUUGGUCACCAAAAAACUAGUGAACUGGGGACUCCAGGCAAAAGUAGAAUAACUUUAGUAUACCUGACAUAUAAACGGAUAAGAAGUAUCAAGAAGAUACCAUGAAAUAAUCACAUGCCACGAUCCAAGGAAAUAAAAUUUCUAGUUUUAUCUAACAUAUAUACAUAUAGGAAGUACUGUCAUAUUUUAUAUCCUACAUACCUUGGCAGAAGUCAAACCUGGUGACAGAGGGGAAUCGCUCCCUGCAACUUCCCCCUAAAACAAGCAUUCUCAGCUCAGUAAAGCCUAAUAGUUGAGAGAAUCCAGAGCCUGGGUAUCCAUGCUUAAUCUUGGACAAAUUAUUUAACCUUUCAAUUUUUCAGUUCUAACAUGAGAAUAAAAAUACCAAAGAGUUGCUUUAAAAAAAAAAAUUAAGACAUUCUAAAGCAUGCCUAUGCCUGGCCUACAGUAAGCUCUAAACAGUGUCAGAUAUUUUUAUUAUUCAACCCACCCCAACUCCCCAUCAUACCCAAUUUAGCUGUGCUAAGCCUGCAGAUGCUAGCAUUAACUUUUUAAAACAUUAACGAAAGUCCACAUUUUGUUUAUAUUUCCUUAGUUUUUACCAAAUGUCCUUUUCCUCUUCUGGGAUCCUAUCUAGGAUACCACAGUACAUUUUGUCAUACUGUUUCCUUAGAAUUGCUCCCCUUGACUGUAACAGAUUCUCAGAUUUUGUCUUUGAUAACCUUGACAGUUUUGAGGAAUACUGGUCAGGCAUUUUGUACAAUGUCCCUCAACUGGUAUCUCUCUGGUGUUUUUCUCAAUAUUAGACUGAGGUUAUGAAUUUUGGGAGGGGAAGGCCAUAUAGAUAAGUUGCCAUUUUCAUAACACCAUAUCAAGUAUAUGUACUAUGAUGUGGCCAUGAUAUAACACUGCUGAUGCUGACUUCGAUGAGCUAGCCAAGGAUGGGUUUAUCAGGUUUCUCUAAAUGCAAAUUUACUCUUUUCCCCCUUUCCACACUGUACUCUUUGGGAGAAAGUCACCACCCAUAGCCCGCAAUUAAGGAGUGAGGAGUUAUGGGAUCUCUGGGUGGCUCAGUGGUUUAGCACCUGCCUUCAGCCCGGGACAUGAUCC